GACGGAAGGUGCAAGCGUUGCUCGGAAUCACUGGGCGUAAAGGGUGCGUAGGCGGCUUGGUAAGUUGGGUGUGAAAGCCCCGGGCUCAGCCCGGGAAGGGCACUCGAUACUGAUCGACUCGAAGGCAGGAGAGGGAAGUGGAAUUCCCGGUGUAGUGGUGAAAUGCGUAGAUAUCGGGAGGAACACCAGUGGCGAAGGCGACUUCCUGGCCUGUUCUUGACGCUGAGGCGCGAAAGCUAGGGGAGCAAACGGG
rnacentral:rRNA from 1 species